rnacentral:rRNA from 1 species
GAUGAACGCUGGCGGCGUGCUUAACACAUGCAAGUCGAACGGAAAGGCUCCUGCUUGCCGGGGUACUCGAGUGGCGAACGGGUGAGUAACACGUGGGUGAUCUGCCCUGCACUUCGGGAUAAGCCUGGGAAACUGGGUCUAAUACCGGAUAGGACGAUGGUUUGGAUGCCAUUGUGGAAAGUUUUUCGGUGUGGGAUGAGCUCGCGGCCUAUCAGCUUGUUGGUGGGGUAAUGGCCUACCAAGGCGUCGACGGGUAGCCGGCCUGAGAGGGUGUACGGCCACAUUGGGACUGAGAUACGGCCCAGACUCCUACGGGAGGCAGCAGUGGGGAAUAUUGCACAAUGGGCGCAAGCCUGAUGCAGCGACGCCGCGUGGGGGAUGACGGCCUUCGGGUGGUAAACUCCUUUCGCUAGGGACGAAGCGCAAGUGACGGUACCUGGAGAAGAAGCACCGGCUAACUACGU